rnacentral:rRNA from 1 species
UACAGAGGGUGCAAGCGUUAUCCGGAUUCACUGGGUUUAAAGGGUGCGUAGGCGGGUAAGUAAGUCCGUGGUGAAAUCUCUGAGCUUAACUCAGAAACUGCCGUGGAUACUAUUUGCCUUGAAUAUUGUGGAGGUGAGCGGAAUAUGUCAUGUAGCGGUGAAAUGCUUAGAUAUGACAUAGAACACCAAUUGCGAAGGCAGCUCACUACACAAUCAUUGACGCUGAGGCACGAAAGCGUGGGGAGCAAACAGG